AUGGAGGAGGGCAGCGGCGGCGGGGAGGGGAGCACGGGCGGGGGGAGGUUCCCGAUACUGCAGGCGGGCCGGGACCCCGAGUCCAACUGGGAGGUGGACGUCGCCAAGAGCCUCGAGGAGUACCUCCUCAAGAUCUGCUCAGGCGAGAUCUCCGGCGAAGACUUCAACUUCGCCGAAGCGGCGCUAUUGCUCCAAGGAUCGGUUCAAGUUUACAGCCGCAAGGUGGAGUACUUGUACUCGUUGGUGCUACAUGCACUGGAAUUUCUAUCGCAAAAUAAGCCAGAUCGACAAGAAAAGGGUUCUGCUGAAGCUAAUGAAAAUGACCCUAGCACUACUCCCAACAAAGAAGAUGAUAUGUUUCUGGGUUUGGAUGAUGUCCCAGCGGAAACAAGGACCACUUUGGAUAAUAAUCUUGACCGGGAUGACUUGCGAAGAAAAAUUGUGAGGCCACCAGCAAAUUUAUUGGUGUUCGAAGGAGACUGUGUCGAUAGCGAAGCCAGUGAGCUGGAUUCGUAUUUGUUAGCAACAUGUGGUUUCUAUGGAGAUUUCGUCCUGCUGGAUCCUUGUGAUGCACCAGCUGUUUUUGCCUUCCUGCAAGGAAAAAAAUCAUGCAAAGAAGAUAUUCUGCCUCAUAGAGGUGGCUCAGCACCAUCUAAAGCCCGACACAAAGCCUUCACUUCCCCAAAUGCAAGAUCAGGGGGUACUGCUCGUAGAAAAACUCCUGGUGAAGUCCUGGGAAAUGCAGUUCAACCGGAGAUUGAAAAACCUCAAGAAAUGAAUCCAGGUAAAAGUCCAGCGAAAGACUGGAGUGAUCAUCCUGGUGACCUUACUCCUGAUCCCAGCAUGUCCCAGCCAGAUUAUGUAGACCCUGGAUCCCCAGAUCCUGGGGAUGAUUCCGAUGACGAGGAUCCUUAUAAAUCUUUGGAUCCACAUGAACCUGGCAACCUAAAGAUCAAUAAGAGAGUAAAAUGUUUUUCAAGGCAAGUUAUUGGCGCUCCUGAGAAGAAAACUCUUGCAUAUGUAUUUCCUGUUGCAAGGGUGGACAAUGUUGUUAGUCCCGAGCUAACAAAAUAUUUUGCAGUACAUAUUUCUCAGCAGGAAAAACUCGAUGUCUCCCAAUCAGUUUAUGAAACGCUUAGGAUGUCAUUUGAAACUGGUGACGAAAAGUGUGAAACAGUUGGAGAUCCAAAGGAUGACAAUCAUCCCAAUCCUAGUGUGCAUUAUUUCAGUGACGAUGAUGAGCCAGACAUCCCAAAUGAUCCAGAUGUUCCAUAUCCAGAUGAUGAGCCUGACAUCCCAAAUGAGCCUGCAGUCAAUAAGAGUGAUGAUGAGGGUCGAGUUACACAGCGGAGAUUGGUUGAACAUAAAAGACUUGCGGAUUUAUGUCAGUCGCAUCUGAAGGCUCUCCUUCGUAGGAUAGCUGAGGCGGGACAACAAAGCGAGCUGGAUGCACGAGUUUCAAUAUGGACACAGCGGAUCGAGCAUGCCUUGGAAGAGCAGGAUAGAAGUCCACCGUUCGAUGUCGGUUUAUACGGGGAGCAAAUCCUUGACACACUCUCAUCAAGAACCGACACAGGGACCGCAUCGUUCAGUCAGAUUGUUAGCGGCAAACCAAAGUACGAGGUUGCUAGAACGUUCUCCGCCCUUCUCCAGUUGGUGAACGGCAGAUGCGUUGAUCUAGACAAAGGACAGGUCAUGAACGAAUUGGUGUGUUACACGGCUGCCAACCCGUUCCAUGUAAAGCUGAUUGGUCCCAACCGUAGGCCAGAGAUGGAGGCAUGUUUCACGCGCAAGAGGGUCAAGUCCCCUGAACGACGAAGUUGUGAUGAAGGGGGCGAGCCGUCUCAGGUGCAACUGAAGAAGAAUGCGCCUAAGAAUGGCAAGGUCUCUUCGGUUAAGGUCGCAGCGAGGUUGACCCCUGAAGGAAAACGGAGGCGAAGGUCUGGUCCGCUGCUGCAGCCAUUCAGUCUGGAGUCCAGCUGA
rnacentral:rRNA from 1 species